rnacentral:rRNA from 1 species
UACGGAGGGUGCAAGCGUUAAUCGGAAUUAUUGGGCGUAAAGGGUUUGUAGGUGGUUUAUUAAGUUAUGUGUGAAAUUCCUGGGCUUAACCUGGGGUGUGCAUAUAAGACUGGUAGACUGGAGUAUGGGAGAGGGUAGUGGAAUUUCCGGUGUAGCGGUGAAAUGCGUAGAGAUCGGAAGGAACACCAGUGGCGAAGGCGGCUACCUGGCCCAAUACUGACACUGAGGAACGAAAGCGUGGGGAGCAAACAGG